UGGUGGCGAGUGGCGAACGGGUGAGUAAUACAUCGGAACGUGUCCUGUAGUGGGGGAUAGCCCGGCGAAAGCCGGAUUAAUACCGCAUACGAUCUGUGGAUGAAAGCGGGGGAUCUUAGGACCUCGCGCUACAGGGGCGGCCGAUGGCAGAUUAGCUAGUUGGUGGGGUAAAGGCCUACCAAGGCGACGAUCUGUAGCUGGUCUGAGAGGACGACCAGCCACACUGGGACUGAGACACGGCCCAGACUCCUACGGGAGGCAGCAGUGGGGAAUUUUGGACAAUGGGCGCAAGCCUGAUCCAGCAAUGCCGCGUGUGUGAAGAAGGCCUUCGGGUUGUAAAGCACUUUUGUCCGGAAAGAAAACGUCGUGGUUAAUACCCGUGGCGGAUGACGGUACCGGAAGAAUAAGCACCGGCUAACUACGUGCCAGCAGCCGCGGUAAUACGUAGGGUGCAAGCGUUAAUCGGAAUUACUGGGCGUAAAGCGUGCGCAGGCGGUUCGCUAAGACAGAUGUGAAAUCCCCGGGCUUAACCUGGGAACUGCAUUUGUGACUGGCGGGCUAGAGUAUGGCAGA
rnacentral:rRNA from 1 species